GAGAGAUAGAGAGAGAGAGAGAGAGAGAGAGCAGAAGGGCAGAUGAAGAACUGAGACAAACACGUGCAUCAAUUCAACACAAAGUCACAGCCAUGACGGGCACUCCACAUUAAAGAAGAGGAGCUAAAUAAACAGCAGGGGGUGAUCUGACGGGUCGUUGCUCUGAGAUUCGUCACCCCUGUCCUUCGUGUCCUCACACUCAUCAACGCUGACUGACACCUGAGACUGAGGUGGGGAGACAGGAGGUUACCUUUAAGACCAGGAUGCUCAUCAUUAUAAAAGUUCAAAAAUAGCAAAAACAAUCAUUCUCAUAUGAGCACAGAGGUAUCCUGAUCCUGGUGUGGUGUCCAGUCCCAGCAGCAGCCUUGCAAUAAGGAUCAUGUAGUCCUUCACAAAAGACUGAUAAG